rnacentral:rRNA from 1 species
UGGCGGACGGGUGAGUAACGGGUGAGAAUCUGGCUCCCGGUCGGGGACAACAGAGGGAAACUUCUGCUAAUCCCGGAGGAGCCGAAAGGUAAAGAUUUAUCGCCGGAGAUGACCUCGCGUCUGAUUAGCUGGUUGGUGAGGUAAAGGCUCACCAAGGCGACAAUCAGUAGCUGGUCUGAGAGGAUGAUCACCCCCACUGGGACUGAGACACGGCCCAGAGACCUACGGGAGGCAGCAGUGGGGAAUUCCCCAAUGGGCGCAAGCCUGACGGAGCAAAACCGCGUGGGGGAGGAAGGGGGUGGGGGUGUAAACCCCUUUUCUCAGGGAAAAACACAAUGACGGUUCUUGAGGAAUAAGCCUCGGCUAACUCCGUGCCACCACCCGCGGUAAUACGGAGGAGGCAAGCGUUCUCCGAAUGAUUGGGCGUAAAGCGUCCGUAGGUGGCAGUUCAAGUCUGCUGUCAAAGACAGUAGCUCAACUACUGAAAGGCAGUGGAAACUGAACAGCUAGAGUACGGUAGGGGCAGAGCGAAUUCCCGGUGUAGCGGUGAAAUGCGUAUAUAUCGGGAAGAACACCGGUGGCGAAUGCGAUCUGCUGGGCCGUAACUGACACUGAGGGACAAAAG